UACGUAUGGGGCUAGCGUUGUCCGGAAUCAUUGGGCGUAAAGCGCGUGUAGGCGGUCCGGUAAGUCCGCUGUGAAAGUCGGGGGCUCAACCCUCGGAUGCCGGUGGAUACUGUCGGGCUUGAGUACGGAAGAGGCGAGUGGAAUUCCUGGUGUAGCGGUGAAAUGCGCAGAUAUCAGGAGGAACACCAAUUGCGAAGGCAGCUCGCUGGGACGUUACUGACGCUGAGACGCGAAAGCGUGGGGAGCAAACAGG
rnacentral:rRNA from 1 species